rnacentral:tRNA from 1 species
GGUUUUAUCGUCUAGUGGUUAGGACGCAGGAUUUUGAUUCCUGAAGCCCCGGUUCGAUCCCGGGUAAGACCU